rnacentral:rRNA from 1 species
AACCUUUACACUGCACGCCAGUGCGAUAAGGGGACUCCAAGUGCGAGGGCAUAUAGUCCUCGCUUUUCUGGGCCGUAAGGAGGUCCAGGAACAAGGGCUGGGCAAGACCGGUGCCAGCCGCCGCGGUAAUACCGGCAGCCCAAGUGAUGGCCGCUCUUAUUGGGCCUAAAGCGUCCGUAGCUGGCCAGGCAAGUCCGUCGGGAAAUCCGCACGCCCAACGUGCGGGCGUCCGGUGGAAACUGCCUGGCUUGGGACCGGAAGACCUGAGGGGUACGUCCGGGGUAGGAGUGAAAUCCCGUAAUCCUGGACGGACCACCGGUGGCGAAAGCGCCUCAGGAAGACGGAUCCGACGGUGAGGGACGAAAGCUCGGGUCACGAACCGGAUUAGAUACCCGGGUAGUCCGAGCUGUAAACGAUGUCUGCUAGGUGUGACACAGGCUACGAGCCUGUGUUGUGCCGUAGGGAAGCCGUGAAGCAGACCGCCUGGGAAGUACGUCCGCAAGGAUGAAACUUAA